GUAGGGAAUAUUGGGCAAUGGAGGCAACUCUGACCCAGCCAUGCCGCGUGCAGGAUGACGGCCCUCUGGGUUGUAAACUGCUUUUAUACGGGAAGAAAAAAUACUACGUGUAGUAUACUGACGGUACCGUAAGAAUAAGGAUCGGCUAACUCCGUGCCAGCAGCCGCGGUAAUACGGAGGAUCCAAGCGUUGUCCGGAUUUAUUGGGUUUAAAGGGUGCGUAGGCGGAUCUUUAAGUCAGUGGUGAAAGCCUGCAGCUUAACUGUAGAAUUGCCAUUGAAACUGAAGAUCUUGAAUGUGGUUACAGUAGGCGGAAUGUAUCAUGUAGCGGUGAAAUGCUUAGAUAUGAUACAGAACACCGAUAGCGAAGGCAGCUUGCUGAACCAUUAUUGACGCUGAGGCACGAAAGCGUGGGGAGCGAACAGGAUUAGAAACCCCUGUAGUCC
rnacentral:rRNA from 1 species